AGGGCAGGGAGAUCUGGAACCUUCAAUAAAUCCUGCAGUGAGGUAAUCAGGAUGUUCCUCACUCCUGUCUCAUCCAUCACCUCAUUGAAACUGGUUGGUCAGCCCGAGUGAGAGAGGUGGAGAGGGAGAUCUGGAGCCUUCAGUAAAUCCUGCAGCCGGUUCUCAGGAAGGUGCUGACUCAAUAGACUUCCCAAUUGCUAGGUGUCUCGUCCAACACCUCUUUGAAGAUGAUUGGUCAGCCAGAGAGACAAAGGAUAGGGAGAUGUGGAGCCUUCAA